GGCGGGACGGAAAACGCGGCCUGGAUCGCGCGGUGGCCGCCUCCGCUCCAGGCGCGCCGCGCCGCGGUAGCCAAAAAUGCGAGGAGGAACAUCUGUAACGCAUUUAAGGGAUGUUCACCUUUGAGACCGCGCCGCUGGAUGGAGGCGAGUUUGGCCAACCCAGUCCGAGGCCAUGCCUCCAUCCCUGGUGUACGGGAGUUUCUUCCAGUUGGACCCAACUCAUCUCUACCUCCCUGCUCAUUCGUCGCAUCUGUUCUUACAUGCACAGCUUGGGAGAACGGGACAGAGGUUCAAGCUCCCUGCCUCUUCCCCGCAGCUGGAGGAGCUCAGGACAGGCCAACUCACUUCCACUGGCCCAAGUCAACCCCAUGUGGAAGACGGAGCCUGACACGGCAGGGCAGCUGGACGGGGUCCUUGAUUGUAUGGGCCCUGGCAUGUCCCAUCCAACGUGGACCCUGCAGCCAUGCAGGUGACUUGCUUGGCUCCGCCUUGCUUGUCCCAAGAGGCUGGUUCUGGCACCAGCUGUCACUGAACAGUAAACAACCGGCACCAAAAACCCCCUAAGAAGUUUAAGAUAAGAGACACCCCUUCGGGGAAGGAAGAACAAAACCUAACAGGAAGCCAAGUGGGUAAACCGUUACUGGUGUCGAUGUGAGGGUUGCAUCUCUCUGUCCCAGGCUGGAGACGCUGUGCUUUUGGCUCUUGGGCUGGCCUGGGAUGGGGGCAUCACAGAGAGGGGAUCGAGGUACACCUGCCAGGGGGCGGGGCUGGGGAGCUGAGCGACUGUCAUUAUCAUCUCCUCCCGUGAUGCUCUGGGUCCUGCCCAGGUCCCUCCAAGUGGCACGUGAAGGCAGUGACUGGGAGUGGAGGCCCCGAGGCCAGACUGGUCACUGUGUGGUUGCUGAGUGUCCUUGAGAAGUCAGUGACCCUCCUGAGUCCCCUGACUUUUCUGAACGUACCCCCUCAACCACGUCACGGGGGUGCUGAGAGGACUCACCAAGAUAACUCAGGCCGAGAGGCUAGCUCGGUGCCUGCCAUACGGUGAGCACCAUGGCUCAGCAAGGCUUGAGGAAAGGCUGGGUGGUGCACUUUGCAGACCUGGAACUGGGUGAGGAAAAGAAAAAAAGAAUUCCUUAACCAUCUGGAGCUGGGGCAAAUUUCCUGGAGAAGAAGCCCUCCAACCCCCAGCCUGGACACCAUCAUCUCAGAGGAAAAGGAGAGAGAGAGAGAGGUCUUAAUCAGAGCUUGAGAACUAUGAAUCAAGCACUUUA